rnacentral:rRNA from 1 species
CCGGUAACUAGAGGUUGCCCGCAGGGGUCAAUCAGCGGCCCAUUUAUUUGGGACAUGCUGAUGGAUGUACUGCUUCAGCGCCUCGAGCCGUAUUGCCUGCUAAGUGCAUACGCGGAUGACCUGCUUCUUCUCAUCGAGGGAAACUCCCGAGCCGUGCUAGAGGAAAAAGGAGCGCAACUGAUGUCCAUCGUUGAAACGUGGGGAGCGGAAAUAGGCGUUGCCGUUUCGACCAGCAAGACGGUAAUAAUGCUACUCAAAGGUACCUUGAGACGUGCGCCCACGGUAAGAUUCGCUGGAGCGAACCUGCCGUAUGUGCGCAGCUGUCGGUACCUUGGCAUCACGGUCAGUGAAGGAAUGAAAUUCCUCACGCAUAUAGCUUCGCUUCGCCAGCGGAUGACCGGAGUCGUUGGAGCAUUGGCGCGUGUGCUACGAGUCGACUGGGGCUUCAGUCCUCGAGCCAGGCGGACCAUAUAUGCGGGACUCAUGGCACCUUGUGUGCUAUUUGGUGCCUCGGUAUGGUAUGACACCGCCGCACAGGUAGCUGCCAGGAGGCGACUAUCCUCCUGCCAUAGACUGAUCCUGCUUGGAUGUCUAUCGGUAUGCCGAACAGUGUCCACCGCGGCACUGCAGGUUCUUGCUGGAGCCCCCCCGCUUGACUUGGCCGCUAAGAAAUUAGCGGUCAAAUACAAGCUGAAGCGUGGAUACCCGCUGGAGGAGAACGACUGGCUCUAUGGCGAGGACAUUACGCGUCUAAGCCGUGAGCAAAAAGAGAUUCGCCUAGAGGAAUGCUUGCUAUUGAGUUGGCAGAGCAGAUGGGAUGACGACAGCGAACCAGGACGGGUGACGCACAGGUUCAUCCCGGAUGUCACCCUCGUCUAUCGGGAUCCGAAUUUUGGUUUCUCGAUGAUGGCGUCUUUUCUUGCUCACUGGGCACGGGUCGUUCAACGCAUUUCUGCAUGGGAGAGCCCUUAGCGAUACCACUGCUUGCGCAUGUGGUGAUCCAUACGAGGACUGGGAUGCACGUGUUGUGCGCCUGCCCCUCUAUAAUGCAGAUCUGCGAGACCUCGAUGGACUUGGAAGUGCAGCGUGGUUGGCGAGGACUGGACAUUCGAAAGAAUCCUGGAGGAUCGGGAGAGAACGCAACGGCUGGUUGUGUUCGCUGAGUUGGUGUUCCACAGAAGAAGAAGCAGAUAGCCUGACGCCGUGCCGUGUGGUUAGCGGGCGAGAAUACUGCCACAGCUUGCCGCAGCUUGUCGUAGAAGGCGACUAAUGCGGCAAUAGGUCACUCCGCCCGUGCUUGUCGGAGCCAAAGAGUGAGGCCGACCGAGCCUCUAAUUUUCGGUACCACGGGUUGAACAGUUCCAAGACUGCUCAUUGAGGUUGGCCCCCUUGUGGGAGUAUCGUGGUGGCUGUGGUUGGUACCCAUAUCGCGGGUAGAGCCUUCAUGCUCGACGUUUGAGUAACGGCGCGGGUUGCGCAACACUCGGGUGCUGUGACCCAUAGAACAGUAGAGAUUUUAGGUAGAUCUCGCUCCUCAGCAAGGGGGAGUGCUUGCCCGGCAAGCAAGCACUCGAAUUGCUACCGGGGUGGUCGCUAUGUACAUAGCUAUAGCUUCCAGACCGGGACGUUUUGUUCAGCGUAUUGGACACAUGCAUCAUAUGCUCACUUGUGGGUGUAUAGGGUGCCGUGGUUGUAAUCCCUUCAAUGUGGAACACGCCACGUAAAACAAGUUCGGAGGGAUCCGAUUCAUACACUGUCCCUAUCUACUAUCUAGCGAAACCACAGCCAAGGGAACGGGCUUGGAAUAAUUAGCGGGGAAAGAAGACCCUUUUGAGCUUGACUCUAAUCUGGCAGUGUAAGGAGACAUAAGAGGUGUAGAAUAAGUGGGAGAUAUUAGACCUCGGUUUGGUAUCGUCAAUGAAAUACCACUACUCUUAUUGUUUCCUUACUUACUUGAUUAAAUGGAACGUGUAUCAUUUCCUAGCCAUUAUACGGAUAUAUUUAUUAUAUCUUAUGGUAUUGGGUUUUGAUGCAAGCUUCUUGAUCAAAGUAUCACGAGUUUGUUAUAUAAUCGCAAACAAAUUCUUUAAUAAAACGAUGCAUUUAUGUAUUUUUGAUUUGAAAAUUUGGUAUAACUCCAAUUACUCAGGUAUGAUCCAAUUCAAGGACAUUGCCAGGUAGGGAGUUUGACUGGGGCGGUACAUCUCUCAAAUAAUAACGGAGGUGUCCCAAGGCCAGCUCAGUGCGGACAGAAACCACACAUAGAGCAAAAGGGCAAAUGCUGACUUGAUCUCGGUGUUCAGUACACACAGGGACAGCAAAAGCUCGGCCUAUCGAUCCUUUUGGUUUAAAGAGUUUUUAACAAGAGGUGUCAGAAAAGUUACCAUAGGGAUAACUGGCUUGUGGCGGCCAAGCGUUCAUAGCGACGUCGCUUUUUGAUCCUUCGAUGUCGGGCUCUUCUAUCAUUGUGAAGCAAAAUUCACCAGCGUUGGAAUCGUUCACCCAUGCAAGGAACGUGAGCUGGUUUAAGACCGUCGUGAGACAGGUUAGUUUUACCCUACUAAUGACAAAACGUUGUUGCGACAGCAUUCCUGCGUAGUACGAGAGGAACCGCAGGUACGGACCAAUGGCACAAUACUUGUUCGAGCGAACAGUGGUAUGACGCUACGUCCGUUGGAUUAUGCCUGAACGCCUCUAAGGUCGUAUCCGUGCUGGACUGCAAUGAUAAAUAAGGGGCAAUUUGCAUUGUAUGGCUUCUAAACCAUUUAAAGUUUAUAAUUUACUUUAUAAACGACAAUGGAUGUGAUGCCAAUGUAAUUUGUAACAUAGUAAAUUGGGAGGAUCUUCGAUCACCUGAUGCCGCGCUAGUUACAUAUAAAAGCAUUAUUU